AUGGAGAUAAGAAAACAAAUUAAACUUUUGGAGGAGGAUAACGAUGAAUUUCAGAAGAAUGGAGAAGUUGACAGUGAAGCGGAUGAAGGAAUAUAUCUAGACAAUGUGGAUGAUUUUGACGAUGACCUUGAAGAUGAUGAUGUUCGUACUGCUGCUGAUUAUAUCUGCCAUGAUUUUGGCCAUGGAAAUGAUGACGCUGACUUUGCUGGUAAGGAUGACAGCCAUUCUGAAGAUGCUGAUGACCAGGAUAUUGCCUGUAAAGAUGAAGAGUGUCAUGGUACUGCUGAGGAUGAUCAAGAUAUUGGCAAUAAUGAUGAUGAAGGUGGUGAUGAUGGUCAUUAUGGUGAAGGCGAUGUCCAUGAUAUUCACCGUAAAGAUGGUGACAUUCAUCCUGCUACAUUUGAUGACCACCACAUUGACCAUGAGACUGAUUAUAGCCUCUCUGAUGAUCAUCUUCUUGAUCAUGAAGAAGAUGACCACCAUACAGAUGAUAGUCAUGACACUGACCAUGAAGACUAUGACAAAUCUGAUUACAGAGAUCAGGAAAAGAAUCAUGUUAAAACUGAUAAAAGUGGUGAAGAAGAGGAAAGCGAAACAAAUAAAAACAAAGUCAUAGAUGAUGAAAGUGAUGAGGGGAAAAGGGACAGUGAUGAAUAUGUCAAAAAUGCUGAUGAAGACAAUGAUGAAAGUAUAGCUUACACAACUGAAGAUACAAGUAAAGAUGACAGAGAAGAAAGGGCGGAUGCUGAAAAACAAGAUGACAAACAACAGGCAACUGUGGUCACUGACCAUGAUGUAGAGCUCAAAGAAGAUGGUGUAGUCACCACUUUUGCAGGUGAAUAUGAAGAAAAAUCUAAAAAUGAAAUAAAGGCAGAGGAUCACAAAACAAUUACUGAUGUCAAGAACCGAAGAACAGAACCAAUAGAUAUAUGGUUCAGAAAACCUGCCCAGGACCAGGAAGACAGAAAAGAAAAAAGGCCUACAAAACCUGAGAAGUCAGAAGAAGAGGAAGUUCAGAAGGUCAUAGAAAAAGUGAAACCAACUGUAGAAUUUAUAGUGGAGAAACCACCACAGGCUGAACUCAAGGAACUGGAGAAACAAAUUACAGCAGAAGAAAAGAAGAUGCCUCCAAAGAAACAGGAGAAGGAGAUGGUAGUCCCUCAUAAGGAAAAAACAGAGAAGGCAAAGAAACCAGAGAAAGACAAAGUCAUCCUAUUUCAGGAAAAAAAGAAGGAAAAGGUGGUUCCAUCUGAAGAGAAACCAGAGAAAGCAAAAGAAUUAAAGAAAGACAAGGUGGCGCGAUUUAAGGAAAAACCUGAGAGGAUAAAGAAACCAGAGAAGGACAAGAUGGUCCCACCUGAGGAAAAACUAGAGAAGGAAAAGGAGCAAAAGGAGAAGAUGGUCCCACCUCAGGAAAAGCCAGAGAGGGAAAAGAAGCAAAAGGAAAAGAUAGCCCCACCUGAGGAAAAACCAAAAAAGGUAAAGAAACCAGACAAGGAGAAAGUGGUCCCAUCUGAGAAAAAAUCAGAGAAGGCAAAAAAACUAGCAACAGAAACAAUGGUCCCACCUGAAGAAAAACCAGAGAAGGUCAAAAAGCCAGAGAAAGAGAAGGUGGUCCCACCUGAUGAAAGACUAGAGAAGGCAAAGAAGCCAGAGAAGAAGAAGGCGGACCUACCUGAGGAAAAACCAGAGAAGGAAAUGGUGCAAAAGGAGAAGGUGGUCCCACCUAAGGAAAAAUCAGAGAAGAUAAAGAAACCAGAGAAAAAGCAAAUGGUUCCAUCUGAGGAAAAACCAAAGAAGGCAAAACAACCAGCAGAAGCAACAAGGGUCCCACCUGAAGAAAAACCAGUGAGGACAAAGAAGGCAGAAAGGAAGGUGGUAUCACCUGAGGAAAAACCAGAGAAGGAAACAGAGCAAAAAGAGAAGGUGCUCCCACCUGAGGAAGAAACAGAGAAGGUAAAGAAACCAGAGAAGGAAAAGAUGGUUCUAUCUGAGGAAAAACCAGAGAAAGCCAAAAAGCCAGUAAAGGAAGAAGUGAUCCAACCUGAAGAACAACCAGUGAGGGCAAAGAUGCCAGAGAAGGAGAAAGUGGUCCCACCUGAGAAAAAAUCAGAAAAGGAAAAAAAAACUGAGAAGAAGAAGGUGGUAUCAUCUGAGGAAAAACCAGUGAAGGAAAAGAAGCCAGAGGAGAAAGUGGUCCCACGUGAAAAAAAAACCACUGAAGGAAAAAAAACCAGAGAAGGUAGUUCGACCUGAGGGAAAACUAGAAAAGCCAAAGAAACCAGAAGAGAAAGUUUUCC
ensembl:lncRNA